CCUCAUCUUCUGUAUCUCUCCAAGUUAAAGAGAGAAAGAGAGAGAGAAUGGGAAAAAAGGAGGGCAAAGGAAAACAGAAAGAUGACUGUUUUAGUUCUUAUUACUGUUAUUGCAGCUAGUUAGAAGAAAAUGUGUUUCGAUAAGAGCAAAUGUAUCCUAGCAAGGUGAUCACUGUCUGGGUUCCAGAGACCUUUGCAGGUCUCAUUAUGAUCCUGAAGCACAUCCUGUGAUGCUUAAUUUCCUCUUCCUUGGGGUUCAUUUCAUGUGUUUGGAAAUAGCCUGAUUAGAGGAAGAAUUUCAACUUGCAGGAGGAGGAAGGGGAAAUUCAAGCUGGGCAAUAUUUCCUUUCUCUGUCAACAGAUAUUUAUAAUCAAGAAUGAAAAGUGAAAACUCGAGAAGGCAUUUGUCAGUUAACCAAGAGAAUGUUGCGUGAUGUCCUUACCAAUCACCCAUUACAUGUGUUUUGCUAAUUUUGUGCAAAACUGAAAAGGAGGUAAGAGAUGAACAAACUGGGUUGGAGGUCAGUUGGAAACUGAAGCCAGCAGCUCAGACCCAGAUGGAUUUAAAAGGACAAGGAAGGAGCCUAUUAAACCUCUUUGUUAAGAGACCCAGCUGCUUGUUUUCU
rnacentral:lncRNA from 1 species